CAGGAAGUAGUUUAAUUAGAAUAUCAGCUUUGGGUGCUGAUGGUGGGGGAGCGAUCCUUCCUUCUUGA
rnacentral:tRNA from 1 species